AGCCUGAGCCAGACCCAGUGACUCUUUCUCUUCCUGCUGCCUGUAGAUCUGGAUGUGGAACUAUCGGCUCCCUCUCUAGCACUGUGUCUACCUGUAUGCGACCAUGCUUCCUGCCAUGAUGAUAAUGGACUCAACCUCUGAACUGAAAACCAGUCCCAAUUAAAUUAUCUCUUUUUAGAGAGUUCACAUGGUCAUGGUGCCUCUUCACAGUGAUAGAACAUUGACUAAGAUGCCUCAGGAACAAGAUAAACAGGGAGGGCCUGCACUUUGUCAACCACAAUAGAUGGAGAAGGUAUAAAUGGAAUGCCAACACACCCACGCUACAACAGAUGUUAGAAAAUUUGUUAGCUUCAAAGGAGAUGCUACCAUAUGGAAGAGUGGAUCUUCAGGAAGGAAGAGCAUCAAAACGACAUGAUGCAGAUGAGCACAGCAAGUAGGAACCUGUAUGCUGAAGAUGAAGGAGCCACAAGAUGGAAGGAUCCUGGGCCUCUGUCACUGCUUGAAAGAAAGCUGUCCUACUCAUUAGGGGUACCAUUUUGGAAUUAGUGUAAGUGUCAGAUAAACUUCUGUUGUAUUUGUGUUAUUGUGCAUUUAGAUUUUUUUUUAACAGAAUGAGCUAAUUAAUUUAGGAAACACAACUUAUGCAAAGCAUCUGGCAUGGGUCAACUGUUACCUAUUAGGUUCAAAGGAGAAAAGUGCUCUGCUAU